rnacentral:rRNA from 1 species
GUCCACGCCGUAAACGAUGGGUACUAGGUGUAGGAGGUAUCGACCCCUUCUGUGCCGUCGUUAACACAAUAAGUACCCCGCCUGGGGAGUACGGUCGCAAGACUAAAACUCAAAGGAAUUGACGGGGCCCGCACAAGCAGCGGAGCAUGUGGUUUAAUUCGAAGCAACGCGAAGAACCUUACCUAGACUUGACAUCUCCUGAAUUACCCGUAAUGGGGGAAGCUCUUCGGAGCAGGAAGACAGGUGGUGCAUGGUUGUCGU